UUCCUCUUCCCUCCCCGUGGCCCCCGUGUCCCGCCCCCCGUGUCCCGGCCCCCACCUCCUGCUGCAGGAAUGGGUUGCGGUGUCCCGGCAGGACCCGUAGGUCCUGCCGCCCUGGUUACACCCGGUCCUGCCUGAGGGGACAGCAUCUGACCACUGGGCUGGAAGGCCUCACCCGGACACCACGAAUCUAGUUCCAGACGCCCGAGGCUCACGCCCCUCAUUGUGAAGAAGGCAAACGGGGUCCCAGGGCAGCCUAGCCUGCCAGGCAACGCCCGCUCUGGGCUCCCUCGGCUGCUGGGCCCUGCCCGCUGCGUCCUGCGGGCUGAGGGGCUGCUCACCGCGGUCUGGGGAGGCGUUGGCCCGCUUGGCUGGAGGAGGACUUGGCCUGUCCUUGUCUGACGGUUCGUAGCGCUUCCUGCUUCCUUUGUCAGCCGCCUAUAAAACAGCGGAGGCCCAGUGAGGAGGGCGGGCCGGGAGCAGCGGCCCAGGGCCCUGCAUCCUCUCUCUGUCCCACCAACACAGAGCCCUCUCAGUGCCCACCCCCCAGUGCCCUGGACCCCUCAGAGUGUGCGCACAGGAGGUCUUCGCCGCUUGAGGGAAGCGAGGAGGGACAGGAUGACCGUCUCCUACAGCCAGGCCAGUGGUGUGGCCUCCGCCCCUUCCAGAUUUUCCUGAGAAUGACAAUGCUUCAGGGUCCUCCUGUGUUCUCUGAGAAGUACCACCAGCCAGGGGGACGAGCUGACGGCCGGCCACCAGGGGAUGAUGGCCUGGGGUCCCUGGUGUGCACCCACCAACCAGUCAUUCCCCCUGGAGCCCCCGCCUACCUUUCUCCUUCUUCGUCUGGGCAGGGGUGGGGGACCGUGAGCUGGCCGAGGACACGGGGCUAGCCAGGUCCGCGUACAUGUCCUCUGAGUCCACACUAUGCGCAGAACUGCUACUUGACGUGGCGCUGGACACCGAGGAGACACUGCUCACGCUCAAGGACCUGGACCCGCAAGCACAUUUGUGUCUGUGUGACCCUGGGCUCCCCGCGAUCCUCCCUCACCCAGGUCCCCACCAGGCUGUAGAUCCAGGGGAGCCUGGGGAGGUGUAGAGGUGCCACCCUACACCCGGGGUGCCUGUGCCGCCACGCGAGGGCCCUGCCCGAUGGACACGCGCCUAAGUCAGACCCCAGAGCUGCGGCCGGCAGAACGCACACGAGGAGGCCGUGGCUGGAAAAUAAAGUGGAAAACAAGAUGGGAGCCUGCAGCUCAACUUGUGACUCAUUAAAACCUUGCAAGUGACCCCCAACUGACCGUGCUUCCGCCACAGUGUGCGCUGCCCGUGGACCGGACACGCCCGAGACACUGCUGGGGCACUGUGCUGGGAGGGGAAUGUCAGAACCAAAUUCUCUUUCCCAAUUUUUCUUUUAAAGUUAGGUCGUUAAAAGUCUAGACCUAUUAAAAUUUGGACAAGUGUAUAAAGCACUGUGCUCGACCUAGAAAUUUCAAGCUUGAUUCAAUGUAAGGACUGAUUUUUGAUAGUCGUCUUUUUUACCCAACUAACAGCAGCAUUCUUUUUUCUCAGAUUUCUCUCUCUCACACCACCUGCCCGCUGUGCGCCUCUGUGGAGACAGGGCCCCAGGGCCUGCUCAGGGCGGCACCCACAGUUCUCCCCGGAAACGGGUCUCAGCAAGUGUGUUCCCCGAGGUGAGGCAGGGCCUUCCGACGCCCCCAGAACCGGUCCUGGUUCCUGAGGGAGGGGCGCUCCCACUUGACGGAACGUCUCACCGGGACGUCCUGGACCCCGACGGGGAGGGUGGGGGUGAAGAGCAGGACCCCGAGCACGGGCUCAACAAUGACCUGGAUCUGGAGCUGGAGCCGCUACAGCUGCUGCCGCUGCCGCUGCCGCUGCGGGUUCGCCUGCAACACAAUCACACCCAUCGGCGCUGACAGCCAGCUCGAGACAAGUGCUCGAGUCCCAGCUCGCUGCUGCCUGCGAAGUGGGAACGGCUGUCUCUUCUUUCAGGAACAGCUUUCCCUCAAAACAGAGAAAGCAGCAGCUUGGCGGAGCACACUUGUCAGUGCCACACCGGACCUGCGUCCCCACAGCGCAGCCAUGUCUUCUAGGGUGGUCCCAGCGAGCAGACAUGCAGGUCCUGCCUGCCCUGGGGGCUCCCAGGGGGAGUGGGACAGGGCCACUCCUCCCACCCAGCUCAGCACCCAUCACUGGCCUCUACGGCUCUGCCGGGAGCGCCCUCCUGCCACCCGUGCAUCUCUGGGGAUGCAGAUUGCCCCUGGCUCCGUGGUGGACACCAAAGACAUGGAGGGACCCAAGGGGGGCAG